AAUUAAAACGUGCAGUAGAUCUGAUCAAACUCGUAGCUCUCUCCUUCAUCACUUGUAUGACUAUCAUUACAAGCUCCAAUGUUUUGUCAGUGGUUAUAAUGCCACUGAUGGGACUCCAAAGCCCCCUGCAGUAACAGACGGGUGAUGUCACUCUGGCUUAGUCCAUUCAUUGUUACAGGCUGUGGUUGCACACCAGAGAAAAAUUUGAUACAUUGAAAACCAACGUUUUAAACAUCUAAUCCACAUUCUAUAUUUGAUCUAGCCUCCAGUGACUCUGGUGACUCCAUUGGUCCGCUCCAUGUUGAGCCUGGUGUAUCUUGGUUGAUGGUGUUCAGUCCAGCCAUCACGGUCCUCUCCACCUUCCUGUGCCUGACUUUUGUUUAUCUCUGCAGUCAGAAUGCAGAUGAAAAAGAUCAAAUGACUGAGAGAAGACCUGACAUGGGAGAGGAAAGUACAGUGAAUCAGGAUGAAGACGCAUGUUUCACCAGAGUUGUGUUCUUGGUUGCCGAUGGACGGAACAAAUAGAUUGGCUUUGACUGAGCGGACAUCACACAAGCUCCACUUCAAACUUCUCACAAAGUCUUUAGAGUCCGAGUUUAAAGACCUGUUAUAUUUGUACACAGUGAUGAUGUGUUUUGGGGGCGGAGUCAAAAUGGUGGCAGAAAGUCAGAUAGUGGUGUUGAAUUAAUUGUUUGUUUGUUUGUUUUCUGGCUUCUUGCCUUCACUUGAUAAGACGAUGUAUAGAGUAGUAAACAGGAAAGAGAGAGGGGGGAAUGACAUGUGGUAAAGGAACCCAGACCUGUCCACCCAGAGGACCAGAGCUUUCUCACAUUCGGGGCAACCCAACCACCAGGUCAGCUGUGCUCAUGAAUUAACAAUUAGUUCUCCGUCAGAUGUUCAGCAGAAGCAGCUUUUCAGGACCCUUGUUUACUAUCACAAUGACGUUAAUCAUCCUACUACGACGCUCGAUGGCUGAUUAUGAUGCAAUUUGUCAGUGUCUUCAGACAUAUUCACGUUGUUAGGGAAGAGUUUGUGGAGUCACAGAGUACAUUCAAAGACACGGAUAUUAUUUUCACCAUCUAUUUGUAAUAAAUAUUCAAAUUAAUCAAAGUACGUUGUUGGUGUAUCUCUGUUAAAAGGUCAAGCAGAUCUAAGAAAGGUUGAGCCCAACAGGAGCCACAAAAAAGUGAUAAGAUUGAUGACAAAAUUCAACAGAAAUUCUAAUUGAUUCCAUGAGAACCUUAAUUCAAGGUUGUCAUUUUUUACACAGUUUGGGUAAAAUAUGGUCAAAUCUAAGUUGGGCAACCUCAGAGCAGACAGAGCCUUGCCUUCCACACGAUACUGAGGCUCCUGUUUGUCAAAUCAAUAAAUUGUUAAACUGCCAAUGUGUCUUGUUUCUUCAGAUUUUAAUCAUCAGUUAGCUUGGGGUGGGUUUUUUGUUUGGUUCAAUUUCUGUUUUGCUGUUACUGUUUGUGUCUCAAAAUAAAGAAACUCAAUAAAAAAAAAUCAUCCAAUCCAAUAAACGAAUAAGCUG